rnacentral:rRNA from 1 species
GACGAACGCUGGCGGCGUGCUUAACACAUGCAAGUCGAACGGAAAGGCCCUGCUUUUGUGGGGUGCUCGAGUGGCGAACGGGUGAGUAACACGUGAGUAACCUGCCCUUGACCUUGGGAUAACCUCAGGAAACUGGGGCUAAUACCGCAUAGGAGCUCCUGCUGCAUGGUGGGGGUUGGAAAGUUUCGGCGGUUGGGGAUGGACUCGCGGCUUAUCAGCUUGUUGGUUGGGUAGUGGCUUACCAAGGCUUUGACCGGUAGCCGGCCUGCGAGGGUGACCGGCCCCAUUGGGACUGAGAUACGGCCCAGACUCCUACGGGAGGCAGCGGUGGGGAAUAGAGCACUAUGGGCGGAAGGCUAAUGCAGCAAAGCAGCGUGCGGGAUGACGUCCUUCGGGUUGUAAACCGCUUUUGCCUGUGACGAAGCGUGAGUGACGGUAAUGGGUGAAGAAGCACCGGCUAACUACGUG